UACGAGAAGUGCCGAGGCCGGCUCCACGCUUGCCAAGCAGCUUAAAAGCAGCCAACGUGGCGUGUAAUUGCUUCGAGGGAGACAAUGACGCCGCAGAAAUGGGAACGAACCCUCCCUCUAUCACCAGCUCCAAUCCAACCAGAUGAAAGUGACCAAAUAUAUCUUCAUGAAGAUAUGGGACUAUUGCUAUGGGAACAGGAAUAUGACACUGAGCUUCCUACAGACUCCAAGAUUCCAACCAGGUAAAUUCCUAUUGUGACACUACACCCGAUAUUUGUCAUAGUAAUAUUAUUAUGAUACGAUUAUGGCAUAAU